AAGCGUGAUGACAAAGUAAUGUCGCCCCAGUCUUAUGAUUCGUUCUCCUGAACGGACAGUGGUGAUCGACUUAUCUAUCUGAUUC